GUCCACGCCUAACGAUGUCAACUGGUUGUUGGACGGCUUGCUGUUCAGUAACGAAGCUAACGCGUGAAGUUGACCGCCUGGGAGUACGGCCGCAAGGUUGAAACUCAAAGGAAUUGACGGGACCCGCACAAGCGGUGGAUGAUGUGGUUUAAUUCGAUGCAACGCGAAACCUUACCUACCCUUGACAUGUCUGGAAUCCUGAAGAGAUUUGGGAGUGCUCGAAAGAGAGCCAGAACACAGGUGCUGCAUGGCCGUCGU
rnacentral:rRNA from 1 species